AAACCUGAUAUGGACUCUAAACUGUCCUCUGUCCUCUCCCCGUCCUCUGUCCCAGGGCCAUCGUAGCGCUGGUCUACAAUGUCCUGAAGGCCUUCAUGGAGAUGAACAGCACCUUAUUUGAUGAGCUCACCGCCACCUACAAGUCAGAGCGUCAGAGGGAGAAGAAGAAGGAGAAGGAGCGUGAGGAGCUGUGGAAGAAGCUGGAGGACCUGGAGUUGAAGCGGGGCCUUAGGAGCGACGGGAUCAUCCCCACCUAACGGACGCCACCGCCGCCGCCUCCUCUGCUCCUCAAUCCCUGCCCUGAGCUCCGGUCUCUGGACUCUCAGAACCUCGGGGUUCUUCAUCCGUUUAUUAUGAGUUCUGUUGUUUAGUUUCUCCUGUUUGUGCGACUUCCUUUACUGUAGAUCAUCACAUCUGUUUCCAUGGUUACUGUAAAUAAUUAUCCCUGAACUGAUGAUGAUGCGAACAGAAAAACGAGACGAAUAAAAACGGAGAGAAAGAAUCUAAAAAAAGAAGCAGGAAACUGAGAUGGUAGAUUCUUCAUUUCUGUUUAUCCUCCUCUUCCUCUCUCUGCCUGAUCAGAUGAGCUAAUGAACCUCCACGCCGUCUCAGACAACCAUCCUGGGAAAUCAGAGUGUGUUUACAUGCAGAUCUAGGAAUACUGGAGCUAGAUGGUGUAGUUGUUCUAUUUCUCUCUGAGCUCCAGAGGAAAGGAUCAACCAUGGGGGGGUCCUCUUCAUGUGAACACACUCUGAGUAAGGAAUCGAACCAUUGACCCCCUGGGUCUUUAGGAGACCCGUUGGUACUGGUCUGGUACCAGCCUGCCAACAGAUAACCAUGCAAACAGAACUCUGUUCCUGCUGUUUGCCAGCAGGGGGCGCUGCGUGGAAUUCACAGUAUUACAGUGACUAGAACCGAGUUUCUGUUAGAACCUUAGUGUUUGUUUAUGGAGCAGAACCAGAACCAGACGUCUUCUGUUUCCCCUUUACUUCAUUUUGUCUCACUUUAUUCUCUGCUUUUUGGUUUUUAUCUUGUUUUCAAUAUUUUGACAUUUCUGUUCAUUAGAUGUUUGUGUAUAUCUUUGCGGGGGGGUUAGUUCAGAGUGGGAGGGGGGCAUGGAGCAGAUGGAGCUGUUGGGACCUUAGAGAGCGUUCUGCCCCAUCAGAAGCCCUUCCUCCCUGUAGGAUGGAUGUGGUGUAAAACGGCCCGGAUGUAAAAUGAUUUACGACCAGAGAAAAGAUCAAAGGGUUGGAAGAAAAAUGUUUAAUUAUUUUAAAAAUAAAGAGAUAUUAAAUUAAAUCGGUUUGUGAUAAGGACUGAAA